AGCGAACGCUGGCGGCAGGCCUAACACAUGCAAGUCGAACGAAGUCUUCGGACUUAGCGGCGGACGGGUGAGUAACACGUGGGAACGUGCCUUUAGGUUCGGAAUAACUCAGGGAAACUUGUGCUAAUACCGAAUGUGCCCUUCGGGGGAAAGAUUUAUCGCCUUUAGAGCGGCCCGCGUCUGAUUAGCUAGUUGGUGAGGUAAAGGCUCACCAAGGCGACGAUCAGUAGCUGGUCUGAGAGGAUGAUCAGCCACAUUGGGACUGAGACACGGCCCAAACUCCUACGGGAGGCAGCAGUGGGGAAUCUUGCGCAAUGGGCGAAAGCUUGACGCAGCCAUGCCGCGUGAAUGAUGAAGGUCUUAGGAUUGUAAAAUUCUUUCACCGGGGACGAUAAUGACGGUACCCGGAGAAGAAGCCUCGGCUAACUUCGUGCCAGCCGCCGCGGUAA
rnacentral:rRNA from 1 species